UACAGAGGUGCCGAGCGUUAGGCGGAAUCACUGGGCUUAAAGCGUGUGUAGGCGGACUUCUAAGUACCUUGUGAAAUCCCACGGCUCACCCGUGGAACUGCUGGGUAUACUGGUCGUCUUGAGCCACCUAGGGGCGAGCGGAACAAAUGGUGGAGCGGUGAAAUGCUUAGAUAUCGUCCAGAACACCGAUAGCGAAGGCAGCUUACUAAGGAGUAACUGACGCUGAGGCACGAAAGUGUGGGGAUCAAACAGG
rnacentral:rRNA from 1 species